AUUAAUAGUCUGGCCUGCUCACUGACAUAAUAUAAUGUUAAAGAGCCGCGGUAUUCUGACCGUGCAAAGGUAGCAUAAUCAUUAGUUCUUUAAUUGAGAACUUGUAUGAAUGGUCGGACAAGAGAAAUCCUGUCUCUGCUAUUAUAGUAGAAUUUAACUUUUAAGUGAAAAGGCUUAAAUUUUUCAAGGGGACGAUAAGACCCUAUAAAGCUUUAUAUAUUAAUUAGAAUUAAUUAAAUUGAAUAAAUAAAAAUUUAGUCUUAAAAAUAUAUUUAGUUGGGGCGACGAAAGUAUAAUUAAUAAUAACUGCUUAAAUUUAAUACAAUAAUAAAUGAUUUUUUUUUAAUUGAUCCUUUUUAAAGAUUAAAGACCAAGUUACUUUAGGGAUAACAGCGUAAUUUUUUUUGAGAGUUCAUAUCGAAGAAGAAGUUUGCGACCUCGAUGUUGAAUUAAAAUAUCUUUAUAGUGCAGCAGCUAGAAAAAGAAGGUCUGUUCGACCUUUAA
rnacentral:rRNA from 1 species